CCUACGGGAGGCAGCAGUAAGGAAUAUUGGUCAAUGGACGAAAGUCUGAACCAGCCAUGCCGCGUGAAGGAUUAAGGCCCUCUGGGUUGUAAACUUCUUUUAUCUGGGACGAAAAAAGGGUAGUCUUACUCACUUGACGGUACCAGAGGAAUAAGCACCGGCUAACUCCGUGCCAGCAGCCGCGGUAAUACGGAGGGUGCAAGCGUUAUCCGGAUUUACUGGGUUUAAAGGGUGCGUAGGUGGGCUUGUAAGUCAGUGGUGAAAUCUCCGGGCUUAACCCGGAAACUGCCAUUGAUACUAUAGGUCUUGAAUUAUCUGGAGGUAAGCGGAAUAUGUCAUGUAGCGGUGAAAUGCUUAGAUAUGACAUAGAACACCAAUUGCGAAGGCAGCUUACUACGGAUACAUUGACACUGAGGCACGAAAGCGUGGGGAUCAAACAGGAUUAGAUACCCUGGUAGUCCACGCCCUAAACGAUGGAUACUCGACAUCAGCGAUACACUGUUGUGUCUGAGCGAAGANAUAAGUAUACCACCGUACGGAAGGUACGAGUCGCGAAGAAGUUAGUAAACGUAACGAAAGGAAAGUUAGUACGGACGUGAGACGUACGACCGACGGACGACCGACGAGGGAGGAGGG
rnacentral:rRNA from 1 species